rnacentral:rRNA from 1 species
GACGAACGCUGGCGGCGUGCUUAACACAUGCAAGUCGAACGAUGAAGAAGAGAAACGCGAACUUCGGUUCAAAUUUCACUUCGGAUUAGUGGCAGACGGGUGAGUAACGCGUGAGCAACCUACCUCUUACAAAGGGAUAGCCUCGGGAAACCGUGAUUAAUACCAUAUGACACAUUCAUAAGGCAUCUUAAGAAUGUUAAAGCUACGGCGGUAAGAGAUGGGCUCGCGUCCCAUUAGCUAGUUGGUGAGGUAACGGCCCACCAAGGCGACGAUGGGUAACCGGCCUGAGAGGGUGAACGGUCACAUUGGAACUGAGACACGGUCCAAACUCCUACGGGAGGCAGCAGUGGGGAAUAUUGCACAAUGGAGGGAAAUCUGAUGCAGCGACGCCGCGUGAGCGAUGAAGGAAUUCGUGUCGUAAAGCUCUGUUAUAUGGGAAGAAAAGGACUGUACCAUAGGAGAAAGCCCCGGCUAAAUACAUG